AUCCAAUGAAUGUAAUCCACCUUUUCGUGGUAUUGGAUAUAAGUAACUCAUUUGAGUGAAACUAAGAGAUUA
rnacentral:ribozyme from 1 species